GUUAUAUGGUCAAGUGAAGAAGCGCAUACGGUGGAUGCCUUGGCAGUCAGAGGCGAUGAAAGACGUGGUAGCCUGCGAAAAGCUUCGGGGAGUCGGCAAACAGACUUUGAUCCGGAGAUGUCUGAAUGGGGGAACCCAGCCAUCAUAAGAUGGUUACCUUACACUGAAUACAUAGGUGUAAGGGGCGAACCAGGGGAACUGAAACAUCUAAGUACCCUGAGGA
rnacentral:rRNA from 1 species